CUUUUGUGGAACGGUGUAGUACACAAUCUCUUUUUGGGUAUCUCUACAUAAUUACAUGGGUACGUAAAAUAUUUUAUAUGGACAGAAAAUAUGAAAUGAACAUGAUAUUACUAAAGUGAAUAUGGUCAGGGUGACUGACCUUGAUCAAUGGAUGAGACUCCAAGAAAUAUAUAAGAUAUCAAGACCUUAUUUUGGGAUGAAUCACAUCGUGUUCACUAUUCACUAUCUGAUUGAUAGUAACUGUGCAUAAUAGUCAGUACCUGAAUCUUACUACUCUAAAGGUAAGUUGAUCUUAGUAAUGGAGAAGUGAUAUGAUAGGUUUGAAUGUAAUUAACCCAAUCCUGACAGGCCUAGCAAGAAGUGAAAACCCCCUACGCUGGGCCUAUGCAAUAUUGCAUCGAGAACAUCACACUGGUGUGUUCCCCCGUCAUCGGGCACUUUGCCGUGUCACAAGGAUGUGACACACCGUCAUCAUCGGGUUAACAA
rnacentral:lncRNA from 1 species